AACGAACGCUGGCGGCAUGCCUAACACAUGCAAGUCGAACGAGACCUUCGGGUCUAGUGGCGCACGGGUGCGUAACGCGUGGGAACCUGCCUUUAGGUUCGGAAUAACUCAGAGAAAUUUGAGCUAAUACCGGAUAAUGUCUUCGGACCAAAGAUUUAUCGCCUUUAGAUGGGCCCGCGUAAGAUUAGCUAGUUGGUGGGUAAAGGCCUACCAAGGCGACGAUCUUUAGCUGGUCUGAGAGGAUGAUCAGCCACACUGGGACUGAGACACGGCCCAGACUCCUACGGGAGGCAGCAGUGGGAAUAUUGGACAAUGGGCGAAAGCCUGAUCCAGCAAUGCCGCGUGAGUGAUGAAGGCCUUAGGGUUGUAAAGCUCUUUUACCCGAGAUGAUAAUGACAGUAUCGGGAGAAUAAGCUCCGGCUAAACUCCGUGCCAGCAGCCGCGGUAAU
rnacentral:rRNA from 1 species